UUUCCUGAAGAGCCUUCACAAGUCCAGUUGCAAUUAUUGACAGCGACUGUCAAAUUAUUUUUGCAGAAGCCAACUGAAGGCCCGCAGCAAAUGAUCCAGAUUGGUUAUCUCGAAUGCUGCAAGCAACGAGGUUUUGCAAGCUGCUUUAUCUAGGCAUGCCCUCCUCUGAAAGGGGAAGAUUACUUGUUUUAUUGUCAUCCUGAAAAUCAGAAAACACCACAUAAUCAGAAACUGCAGAAAUGGUUUGUCCCAUUUACCUUUCUCCUUCUACAGUUGUCUGUUCAUCAAUUUGUUCAUGUACAUGCCUUCUCAAAAGACUAUGCCCAUCUUUUUCCCACUGAUUAUUCUGUUA